rnacentral:rRNA from 1 species
GAACGGGUGAGUAAUACAUAAAUAAUCUACCAUAAUGACUGGGAUAACCAAUGGAAACGCUGGCUAAUACCGGAUAGGUAAAACGAGGGCAUCUUUGUUUUAUUAAAGUAGGGCUACUACACAAUAUGAUGAGUUUAUGGCGCAUUAGCUAGUUGGUGAGGUAACGGCUCACCAAGGCGAUGAUGCGUAGCCGACCUGAGAGGGUGACCGGCCACACUGGGACUGAGACACGGCCCAGACUCCUACGGGAGGCAGCAGUAGGGAAUUUUCGGCAAUGGGCGCAAGCCUGACCGAGCAACGCCGCGUGAGUGAAGAAGGCCUUCGGGUUGUAAAGCUCUGUUGUAAGGGAAGAACACUUUUUAGAGGAAAUGCUAGAGAGCUGACGGUACCUUACCAGAAAGCCACGGCUAACUACGUGCCAGCAGCCGCGGUAAUACGUAGGUGGCGAGCGUUAUCCGGAAUUAUUGGGCGUAAAGGGUGCGUAGGCGGUUUAUUAAGUCUGUGGUGAAAGUGCGGGGCUCAACCCCGUAUGGCCACAGAAACUGAUAGACUAGAGUACAGGAGAGGGCAGUGGAAUUCCAUGUGUAGCGGUAAAAUGCGUAGAUAUAUGGAGGAACACCGGUGGCGAAGGCGGCUGCCUGGCCUGUAACUGACGCUGAGGCACGAAAGCGUGGGGAGCAAAUAGGAUUAGAUACCCUAGUAGUCCACGCUGUAAACGAUGAUUACUAAGUGUUGGAGAAAUUCAGUGCUGCAGUUAACGCAAUAAGUAAUCCGCCUGGGGAGUAUGCACGCAAGUGUGAAACUCAA